rnacentral:tRNA from 1 species
GCUCCGGCCCCGUCGACUCCGUCAGCCUCAACCGCCUCUACUUCCUCUGAGGACCGCCAUGCCCGACGCCCCC